GCGUUGUUGGUGAAGUGGUUAACACAUCGGAUUGUGGUUCCGACAUGCGUGGGUUCGAUCCCCACACAGCGCCCCA
rnacentral:tRNA from 1 species